rnacentral:rRNA from 1 species
GACGAACGCUGGCGGCGUGCUUAACACAUGCAAGUCGAACGGAAAGGCUCCAGCUUGCUGGAGUGCUCGAGUGGCGAACGGGUGAGUAACACGUGGGCAAUCUGCCCUGCACUCUGGGAUAAGCCUGGGAAACUGGGUCUAAUACCGGAUAGGACCUUUCUCCUCAUGGGGUUUGGUGGAAAGUUUUUCGGUGCAGGAUGAGCCCGUGGCCUAUCAGCUUGUUGGUGGGGUAAUGGCCUACCAAGGCGACGACGGGUAGCCGGCCUGAGAGGGUGAUCGGCCACAUUGGGACUGAGAUACGGCCCAGACUCCUACGGGAGGCAGCAGUGGGGAAUAUUGCACAAUGGGCGAAAGCCUGAUGCAGCGACGCCGCGUGAGGGAUGACGGCCUUCGGGUUGUAAACCUCUUUCAGUAGGGACGAAGCGCAAGUGACGGUACCUGCAGAAGAAGCACCGGCUAACUACGUG